ensembl:lncRNA
AUGUUUCCACACAUACUCACACGCUGCUGUAGGAGGAAGGCAGACAGCAGUGUGUCAGACACACACAUACUCACACGCUGCUGUAGGAGGAUAGCAGACAGCAGUGUGUCAGACACACACAUACUCACACGCUGCUGUAGGAGGAAGGCAGACAGCAGUGUGUCAGACACACACAUACCCACACGCUGCUGUAGGAGGAAGGCAGACAGCAGUGUGUCAGACACACACAUACUCACACGCUGCUGUAGGAGGAAGGCAGACAGCAGUGUGUCAGACACACACAUACUCACACGCUGCUGUAGGAGGAAGGCAGACAGCAGUGUGUCAGACACACACAUACUCACACGCUGCUGUAGGAGGAAGGCAGACAGCAGUGUGUCAGACACACACAUACUCACACGCUGCUGUAGGAGGAAGGCAGACAGCAGUGUGUCAGACACACACAUACUCACACGCUGCUGUAGGAGGAAGGCAGACAGCAGUGUGUCAGACACACACAUACUCACACGCUGCUGUAGGAGGAAGGCAGACAGCAGUGUGUCAGACACACACAUACUCACACGCUGCUGUAGGAGGAAGGCAGACAGCAGUGUGUCAGACACACACAUACUCACACGCUGCUGUAGGAGGAAGGCAGACAGCAGUGUGUCAGACACACACAUACUCACACGCUGCUGUAGGAGGAUAGCAGACAGCAGUGUGUCAGACACACACAUACUCACACGCUGCUGUAGGAGGAUAGCAGACAGCAGUGUGUCAGACACACACAUACUCACACGCUGCUGUAGGAGGAAGGCAGACAGCCGUGUGUCAGACACACACAUACUCACAUGCUGCUGUAGGAGGAAGGCAGACAGCAGUGUGUCAGACACACACAUACUCACACGCUGCUGUAGGAGGAAGGCAGACAGCAGUGUGUCAGACACACACAUACUCACACGCUGCUGUAGGAGGAUAGCAGACAGCAGUGUGUCAGACACACACAUACUCACACGCUGCUGUAGGAGGAAGGCAGACAGCAGUGUGUCAGACACACACAUACUCACACGCUGCUGUAGGAGGAUAGCAGACAGCAGUGUGUCAGACACACACAUACUCACACGCUGCUGUAGGAGGAAGGCAGACAGCAGUGUGUCAGACACACACAUACUCACACGCUGCUGUAGGAGGAUAGCAGACAGCAGUGUGUCAGACACACACAUACUCACACGCUGCUGUAGGAGGAAGGCAGACAGCAGUGUGUCAGACACACACAUGCAAACACACACUCCAACAGUGAUAGAUCCAUUGUUCAAAGUUAGGAUCUGA